rnacentral:rRNA from 1 species
UGUACCUGGUGGCGAGCGGCGGACGGGUGAGUAAUGCCUAGGAAUCUGCCUGGUAGUGGGGGAUAACGCUCGGAAACGGACGCUAAUACCGCAUACGUCCUACGGGAGAAAGCAGGGGACCUUCGGGCCUUGCGCUAUCAGAUGAGCCUAGGUCGGAUUAGCUAGUUGGUGAGGUAAUGGCUCACCAAGGCGACGAUCCGUAACUGGUCUGAGAGGAUGAUCAGUCACACUGGAACUGAGACACGGUCCAGACUCCUACGGGAGGCAGCAGUGGGGAAUAUUGGACAAUGGGCGAAAGCCUGAUCCAGCCAUGCCGCGUGUGUGAAGAAGGUCUUCGGAUUGUAAAGCACUUUAAGUUGGGAGGAAGGGCAGUUACCUAAUACGUAAUUGUUUUGACGUUACCGACAGAAUAAGCACCGGCUAACUCUGUGCCAGCAGCCGCGGUAAUACAGAGGGUGCAAGCGUUAAUCGGAAUUACUGGGCGUAAAGCGCGCGUAGGUGGUUCGUUAAGUUGGAUGUGAAAUCCCCGGGCUCAACCUGGGAACUGCAUUCAAAACUGUCGAGCUAGAGUAUGGUAGAGGGUGGUGGAAUUUCCUGUGUAGCGGUGAAAUGCGUAGAUAUAGGAAGGAACACCAGUGGCGAAGGCGACCACCUGGACUGAUACUGACACUGA